rnacentral:rRNA from 1 species
GGCAGCUUAAUUAAGGAACAAGACCAGCCGGGCACUCGCAAGAGUACUCGACCAUGUCGUGUUGACUCUGGAUAAUUUCUACAGAUCGCAGUCGGCCUUGUGUCGGCGACAGUUCUUUCAAAUGUCUGCCCUAUCAACUUACGAUGGUAGGUAACCUGCCUACCAUGGUGAUAACGGGUAACGGGGAAUCAGGGUUCGAUUCCGGAGAGGGAGCCUGAGAAACGGCUACCACAUCCAAGGAAGGCAGCAGGCGCGCAAAUUACCCACUCCCGGCACGGGGAGGUAGUGACGAAAAAUAACGAUGCGGAACUCUCUGAGGAUCCGUAAUCGGAAUGAGUACAGUCUAAAGCCUUUAACGAGGAUCAAUUGGAGGGCAAGUCUGGUGCCAGCAGCCGCGGUAACUCCAGCUCCAAUAGCGUAUAUUAAAGUUGCUGCAGUUAAAAAGCUCGUAGUUGGAUCUUGACGGCACUGUCGCUGAUCGAGUUUCGUGUGCGAAUGGAGCGGCCACCGGUCGUCUUCGUGAGCUACGUACUUGACUUGUUGAUGGUGCAGUCUUUCAGCCGUGUCUGAUCCUCUCGGGGGUCAGGUGCCUUUUGUCGGAUGAGCUAGCCUUGACUGUCAAUUGGUACGCUCCACGAUCCACUUCAUUGCGUGUCGUGGUGCGGGCGGCAUGUUUACUUUGAACAAAUUUGAGUGCUCAAGCAGCCACUGUGUCUGAAAAGUCUUGCAUGGAAUAAUAGAAUAGGACUUCAGUUCUAUUUUGGUUGGUUUUCGGGAUCUGAAGUAAUGGUUAAGAGAGACAGACGGGGCCAUUGUAUGCCGGUGUUAGAAGGUGAAAUUCUUGGGAUCGCCGCCGAACGCCUGAAGCGAAAGCAUUUGGCCAGAAAUGUUUUCAUUGACAAAGAGCAAAG